UUCAGCCCUUUGUCGCUAAGAUUC
rnacentral:snRNA from 1 species